GACUCGUCACACUAUCAUUAACUGAAUCCAUAGGUUAAUGAGGCGAACCGGGGGAACUGAAACAUCUAAGUACCCCGAGGAAAAGAAAUCAACCGAGAUUCCCCCAGUAGCGGCGAGCGAACGGGGAGGAGCCCAGAGCCUGAAUCAGCAUGUGUGUUAGUGGAAGCGUCUGGAAAGGCGCGCGAUACAGGGUGACAGCCCCGUACACAAAAGCGCAUGUGCUGUGAGCUCGAUGAGUAGGGCGGGACACGUGGUAUCCUGUCUGAAUAUGGGGGGACCAUCCUCCAAGGCUAAAUACUCCUGACUGACCGAUAGUGAACCAGUACCGUGAGGGAAAGGCGAAAAGAACCCCGGCGAGGGGAGUGAAAAAGAACCUGAAACCGUG
rnacentral:rRNA from 1 species